rnacentral:rRNA from 1 species
AGCGAACGCUGGCGGCAGGCCUAACACAUGCAAGUCGAACGAACUCUUCGGAGUUAGUGGCGGACGGGUGAGUAACACGUGGGAACGUGCCUUUUGGUUCGGAAUAACUCAGGGAAACUUGUGCUAAUACCGAAUGUGCCCUUCGGGGGAAAGAUUUAUCGCCAUUAGAUCGGCCCGCGUCUGAUUAGCUAGUUGGUGAGGUAACGGCUCACCAAGGCGACGAUCAGUAGCUGGUCUGAGAGGAUGACCAGCCACACUGGGACUGAGACACGGCCCAGACUCCUACGGGAGGCAGCAGUGGGGAAUCUUGCGCAAUGGGCGAAAGCCUGACGCAGCCAUGCCGCGUGAAUGAUGAAGGUCUUAGGAUUGUAAAAUUCUUUCACCGGGGACGAUAAUGACGGUACCCGGAGAAGAAGCCCCGGCUAACUUCGU